UUACAGCGGCUGCCACUGGCA
rnacentral:siRNA from 1 species